UACGGAGGGUGCAAGCGUUAUCCGGAUUUACUGGGUUUAAAGGGUGCGUAGGUGGGUAGGUAAGUCAGUGGUGAAAUCUUCGAGCUUAACUCGGAAACUGCCAUUGAUACUAUUUAUCUUGAAUACUUUGGAGGUAAGCGGAAUAUGUCAUGUAGCGGUGAAAUGCUUAGAUAUGACAUAGAACACCAAUUGCGAAGGCAG
rnacentral:rRNA from 1 species